GUAGAUUCUCUAUGUCAAAAAUUUGGACAGGCCACAGCAGGGUCUGCUUACCUCUGCUCCACCCCUGUCUAGGGUCUCAGCCAGGAAGACUUGAAAGUUUGAAGCAACUCAGCAUCCGGGGGCUGGAAUUAUCUGGAGUAAUCUUCACUCACAUAGCUGUUACCACACCAAGUUCGUUUUUGCCUGCGGCCUGGAAAGCCAAACACCGAGACGACAAGACUGCAGCAGAGAGAGGGUUUACUCACAAGGCAGUCUGUGAGAAAGUGAGAGCAUGGGAGGUUCAGGAUUUAAAUUACCAGCUGAGAAGCAAGAUGCGCAGAUUUAACUACGGAAGAGGAGAAGGAUAUGGGACCACACUGCUGGCUUUGAAGGUGGAGGAAGAGGCCAAUAAACGAAGGGAUACAAGGAAUGCACAAGCUUGAAAAGGAAGGAAGCAAAUUCUCUUCUGAACAGAAGGAGUGCAGCCCUGCCAACAGUCUGGUUUUAGGCAUCUGACCAGAACUAUAAGAGAAUAAAUUUGCUUUGCUUUAAGCCACUAAAUUUGCGGUAGUUUGUUAUAGAGGCAUUGAUAAAUAAUUCAAGAAGGAUGGUGAAGUCUUGUUGACCUCAGCAGGGAUGGGGACCAGGAUAUGUUUGAAAAAGUCCAUUCUGAAUGGAAGUGAGUGAUGAUGAUUGCUUUAUCUCCCCUAGCUGCAGUUUCUGGCUUAGAAGACCACAAAUAUGAAUGUGUAAAAAUAGCUUUGUAAUAAACUGGUAUUUUUGCUUUUAUCUGAAUAUUGCUCUCUUACGUGGAGCCUUCAAUGUGUUGAUAGUUUGUUUUUCAUUUUUCUUCGUAAGUUAUGGUAACAGACAACAGCAGGCUUGCGGUGUCCAUGUGAAUGAAUUACUUUCAACUCUUAUCUCAUUCAAUUGGUGUUUAUUACAGUGGCUUCCAACCUAUGGCAUGUGUCAGAAGAAUUUAAGUUUGUAAAAGUAUGCGGAUGGAUCUCAACCUGAUGUAACCAAUCAGAACCUCCUUAAGUGUUUAUUUUUACAUUGCUCCACAGAGAUUAUAAAAUGCACAGAAAGUUCAAAACAAUUGAUUUACCAAGUCCCUGCCAUUGACUGAUGUAAUGCGAAACGUUCCCAAAAUAUUGCUUCUUUUGUAACAGAUUUAACACACUUGUGGUUCUAUCUUUGUCAUGAUACCCAUGUGUCUGUGAUGGUAAAUAUAAAUAAAGCCAUGCCAAAAGGCUCAGAAAUUUUCCUUAAAAGUGCAUUAAAUAAUGCCAAAUAUGAGAUUUGUUACUAAAAUGUGGACUAUUUCAGGAAAUUGCCAGUCUGUCUUAGGCUGGAUG
ensembl:lncRNA